GACGAACGCUGGCGGCGUGCCUAACACAUGCAAGUCGAGCGGAGUCGAUCGACGGAAGCCUUCGGGCGGAAGAUGGUUGACUUAGCGGCGGAUGGGUGAGUAACGCGUGGGCAACCUGCCUCGAAGACCGGGAUAACAGCCCGAAAGGGCUGCUAAUACCGGAUGUGGUCAAGGAUCCGCAUGGAUUUUUGAUUAAAGGGGAAACCCGCCUUGAGAUGGGCCCGCGUCCCAUCAGCUAGUUGGUGAGGUAACAGCUCACCAAGGCGACGACGGGUAGCCGGCCUGAGAGGGUGACCGGCCACACUGGGACUGAGACACGGCCCAGACUCCUACGGGAGGCAGCAGUGGGGAAUAUUGCGCAAUGGACGGAAGUCUGACGCAGCGACGCCGCGUGAGCGACGAAGGCCUUCGGGUCGUAAAGCUCUGUUCUUGGGGACGAAUAAAUGACGGUACCCAAGGAGAAAGCCCCGGCUAACUACGUGCCAGCAGCCGCGGUAAGAUCACGUGUA
rnacentral:rRNA from 1 species